rnacentral:rRNA from 1 species
UACAGGGGGUGCAAACGUUGCUCGGAAUUAUUGGGCGUAAAGCGCGCGUAGGCGGCUACUUAAGUCGGAUGUGAAAGCCCCUGGCUCAACUGGGGAAGUGCACCCGAAACUGAGUGGCUUGAGUACAAAAGAGGGUCGCGGAAUUCCCGGUGUAGAGGUGAAAUUCGUAGAUAUCGGGAGGAACACCAGUGGCGAAGGCGGCUUCCUGGCCUGUUCUUGACGCUGAGGCGCGAAAGCUAGGGGAGCAAACGGG